UGUUACGAAUUGUCAAACUCUAUUCGCAUUCCACAUACCAUCCACACUGCAACGAAUGAAUUGUUCGCGCGUUUUAACCUCAAAUUACUCUUCUAUUUGUUUUCUUUGUGGUUGAUCAUGGCUAAAGAAAAUAUGGAAAAAAAAGAAUUUGACGAAAGAUUGAUAGUGGAGGUUGAAGCAAAUCCAUCAAUUUAUAGCAAGGCUGAGCGGUCCUAUUCAGAUAGAUAUAAAAAGGAGAAUGUGUGGCAAAAUAUUGCAUUUAUUUUAAAUACCGAUGGUAAUAUAAACAAAAAUGUGUUAAUAAUUGCAUCCAGUAUUAAAUUGAGUUUUCAGUGAAAAUAUGUAAAGAACGUUGGAAGAACUUGCGGGAUACUUUUGGAAAGUACUACAAAAGGGACAAAAAUGUACCCAGUGGGUCGGAGGCACUUCCGAAGAAAAGACCCUGGCCUUAUUUUGAAAUAUUGAAAUUUCCCAUUCCAAAUAUUGAAGUACCAAAAACUCUCGGAAACAAGGUAAAUGAAAAAGAGAACGUUGCCAUUGAUCUCUCUGACAAAGAAGAAACUGAUGAAGCACCAACAUCCUCAAAUAAGAGACUGAACGAGUCAAUCCAGGCACCACAACCUACACCUUCGAAGAAAAAGAAGAAUUCCGAUUCAGAUAACGAUAGAUUUUUGGCAGCACUGACGGAACUUAAUGAACCUGACUCAGCACCAUUGGAGAAGUUUUUCUUGGCUCUAGCACAACGUCUAAAUUCCUGGUGCCGAAAAAAACAAUCAAAAUUGGAAAUGCGGACACUUCAACUGCUUCAUGACAUUGAAUUCGAAGAUGAAUAAUUUUAAUGUGUGAGAUCAUUGUGCUGAUCCUUUUUGGCUAUUUUUUGUUU